rnacentral:lncRNA from 1 species
AGGUCAAUUCAGUGAACUCAUUCUUCUAAUGAGCACCCAUAUCUUUGUAUUAGUGUCUCCACACAAAUGAUUGUGAGAUCAAUCAUCCUCUGCAUCGAGCAUACAUAAGACAUGCCAGUCUUUCUGGUAAUCAUUGAUCCCCGACUCAAUGUACCAAUGACUGGAAAUAUUUAAGAUUAGGCUUUUAGGAUUUUAAGUCUCACUAGUAUGAUCUCAUCAUAGUCUUAAAACCAUUGCCCUAAUCUAAGGAGUUUAUCAUAAAUAUAAUCAACAGC